rnacentral:rRNA from 1 species
GACGAACGCUGGCGGCGUGCCUAAUACAUGCAAGUAGAACGCAGUUGCGAACGGGUGAGUAACGCGUAGGUAACGGCCUCAUAGCGGGGGAUAACUAUUGGAAACGGUAGCUAAAAACCUCUACUGUGAGACGGACCUGCGUUGUAUUAGCUAGUUGGUGUGGUAAAGGCUCCCCAAGGCGACGAUACAGAGCCGACCUGAGAGGGUGAUCUGCCACACUGGGCCUGAGACACGGCCCAGAAUCCGCCGGGAGGAGGCAGUAGGGAGUCUACGGCGAUGGACGGUAGUCUGACCGAGCAACGCCGCGUGAGUGAAGAAGGUUUUCGGAUCGUAAAGCUCUUUUGUCAGAGGAGCGGUAACUACCCGGAAAGGAACGGCUAACUCCGUGCCAGCAGCCGCGUAAUAC